CUUCAAUAAUAAUAAUAACAACAGCAGCAAACAAACCCAUAUAGAGUAUGUGUCUAAACCUGGCACUUCUCUAAAUUCUUUUCAGAUAAUCCCUACAACUUCUGGGAGAGGUGCAAGUAUCAACCAGUUGGAGACACAGGGAAAGGGUGAUAUAAUGCAGAAAGUGACUUGAACAAAUUUACACAGAAGGCAGUGAAGUGUGAUUCAAAUUCAAGCAGUCUAGACUGUGCCCCACACAACUCUGCAGCAUAACCUUGCAGUAUGAAAAUAAUGCCUCUCAUGCAGUGGCACUUUGGGGAGAGGAGUCACGGAUCUCCUGGCUUGGCCAUGAUUCAGCUUUUGGAGAUUUCAUUUAGAAUUUGUGAUCUUUCCCAUAUUCUUCCUAAAAGGGUUAUGUCUUCUUCUAUAAGACUACCCACUGCCUCUUCUCAAGUAUAUCUGAAGUAUGGCUGGUUGGAGUAUAUCAGGACCCUCAGAGGAGAAAAGCAUAUAAAACUAGCACACCUGAACCCAGAUUUCACAGAUUUGAGAAGGUGGGAUGACAUGGAGGAAAGCUGAUGUAAUGAAAGCAAGGAGUUCUUCCACAGGCUCCCCCUUGCUCAAAUUAGCGUUGAAAAAAUGGAAAUGAAAGAUGGAAACUGAUGUUUAUUAAAUGGCUACUAUAUACCACGGGUGUCGCCUAUACCAAUAGAUGCAGUAUUUCAUAUAGAAUAGAUGCUCAAUAAAUGUUGAAAUCAAUAAAUAGCUAUAUGAUUUAUAUGUAUAUGUAUGUAUAUACAUGUAUAUUAUACAUUAUACAUCUGUAUUAUGUAUGUAUAUACAUGUAUAUUAUACAUUAUACAUCUGUAUUAUGUAU
ensembl:lincRNA